rnacentral:rRNA from 1 species
CAUGCAAGUCGAACGCCCCGCAAGGGGAGUGGCAGACGGGUGAGUAACGCGUGGGAAUCUACCCAGUUCUACGGAACAACACAGGGAAACUUGUGCUAAUACCGUACACGCCCCAAGGGGGAAAGAUUUAUCGGAAUUGGAUGAGCCCGCGUUGGAUUAGCUAGUUGGUGGGGUAAUGGCCUACCAAGGCGACGAUCCAUAGCUGGUCUGAGAGGAUGAUCAGCCACACUGGGACUGAGACACGGCCCAGACUCCUACGGGAGGCAGCAGUGGGGAAUAUUGGACAAUGGGCGAAAGCCUGAUCCAGCCAUGCCGCGUGAGUGAUGAAGGCCUUAGGGUUGUAAAGCUCUUUCAGUGGGGACGAUAAUGACAGUACCGGGAGAAUAAGCCCCGGCUAACUCCGUGCCAGCAGCCGCGGUAAUACGGAGGGGGCUAGCGUUAUUCGGAAUUACUGGGCGUAAAGCGCACGUAGGCGGCUUUGUAAGUCAGAGGUGAAAGCCUGGAGCUCAACUCCAGAACUGCCUUUGAGACUGCAUCGCUUGAAUCCAGGAGAGGUGAGUGGAAUUCCGAGUGUAGAGGUGAAAUUCGUAGAUAUUCGGAAGAACACCAGUGGCGAAGGCGGCUCACUGGACUGGUAUUGACGCUGA